rnacentral:rRNA from 1 species
GAUGAACGCUAGCUACAGGCUUAACACAUGCAAGUCGAGGGGAAACGACAUCGAAAGCUUGCUUUUGAUGGGCGUCGACCGGCGCACGGGUGAGUAACGCGUAUCCAACCUGCCCAUCACUUGGGAAUAACCUUGCGAAAGUAAGACUAAUACCCAAUGACAUCCCACGAAGACAUCUGAAUGGGAUUAAAGAUUUAUCGGUGAUGGAUGGGGAUGCGUCUGAUUAGCUUGUUGGCGGGGUAACGGCCCACCAAGGCAACGAUCAGUAGGGGUUCUGAGAGGAAGGUCCCCCACAUUGGAACUGAGACACGGUCCAAACUCCUACGGGAGGCAGCAGUGAGGAAUAUUGGUCAAUGGGCGAGAGCCUGAACCAGCCAAGUAGCGUGCAGGAUGACGGCCCUAUGGGUUGUAAACUGCUUUUAUAAGGGAAUAAAGUGGGUCUCGUGAGACUUCUUGCAUGUACCUUAUGAAUAAGGACCGGCUAAUUCCGUG